AUCCCAUGGAAGAUUAUAUUCUUGUUCCAAUAUUGGCAAAAGUUGUCACCAUUUAAUUAGUAUCAGAUUCUGACUUGCACAAGUAACAUUC
rnacentral:snoRNA from 1 species